rnacentral:lncRNA from 1 species
AUGAUUCAUCAAUUCCACUCCUCCCGCCUACAGACGUCUAAAUUUCAGUUUUCUGAGAAGCUACAAAGCGUGAAGUGGCAUCUCCGCAUUGAGUCAGAGGACACUGAGUGUUAAACUGUAAUACCGCCAAGAGUUUGGUGUCAACCCUCUUAACCUGUUUUCCGGUGAAACUGAGGCUUGGAGAUCAAAGCAGAUGCUGAGAUGUCUCACCAAGUACUACUGCCUUUCUUGUCAAGAUCAAGAAACCACAGUUUCAGGGCCACUUUCCUUGGGAAUCCAACUCAACAAGGAAGACUGCUUGUGCCCAAAGUCAAGAGCAAGGAGGAAGAUCUGAGAUUUCAACAUGACUCUGUUUCAAAGACUGUGUUCCUUUCUCUCUGCUGUUCCUGUUUCCAUCAAAAGACCAUCCGUCUUUCCCUUCUCAGAGGGGCAGAAACUUUUUUUCAGUCUCUCUCUCCAAGCACCAAGAUGCUUACCUUUCACCAGAGGAAAGUGGGGAAGUGUGGCCUCAGGGAGGAUGAGUAAUCACAUAGACCCAGCACAUAGAUGUGUUUUGUUUGUCCUGUGUUGUCCUUUAAAAUGAUGGGUCAGUAUUUUUUUGAUUAGAAGAUUUGACCCCAAAAUACAGAUUACCAGCUUCUCUUGAAAAACCAG